UUACCAAGGCAGAGCUUGCUUAAUUGACUCCACAAUCAGAGUUGCAUCACCAUGAGUCAGUUUCUGUUGGGAAAUUUGCAAAAGCACCGCCCUUGACACCUAUAAAAGGGGUGUUGAUCAUGAAAGAGAAGGAAAAAACGGAGGAAAAAAACAGAGGGAGAGAUAGAGAACAAGGUUGGGGGCUCAUCUUCAGAUCCCAACCUAGUUUGAGAGAAAAUAGUUUGGAGGACCUGUUAUAGAGCGAACAGAUUGAAGGAGGAAGAGAGCAUCACUAAUCAACACCAGAACCUGAAGAAGUGAGAGGAAAUAUUCAGUACCAGGAUACAAAGAUCAGUAUUCGUUCAAAGUGCUUUCUUCCUCUUUCACCGUUGAAAACCUAAGUCGCCUACGCUCUUGCUCCUCUUUCGCCGUUGCUCGCCGUCGGUCGCCGUCGCUUGCCGUCGCUCGUGCGUUGUGCAGGUCCUGUUUCGCCGUUGUUCGCCGUCGCUAGCUCACCGUUCACCUCACUCUCAUUCUCUCUCAGUCUCGCCGUUGUUCCGCAGUCGCUCGUCGUCGCUCGUGCAGCUCUGUGGUCCACUUUGAUUCCUUGCGUUAAGUUUUUAGUGGAGCUGAAUAGUAAUAAUGCACUUCAUGUUCAAGUGACUAUUGGGACCCUUAUUUUUCAGAAUUGUAUCUCUUGCUUUUUUGCUCAAGGGAGAAACUUGGGUUGUCUAGAACUUUCUUGUUCACACCUUGCAACUCCAGAAGCUUGGCACCUGUUGUGGAAAGGUACUUAGCUUGAGUUGAAAAAACAGUAGCAGCUGAGUUGAAAGGGUUCAAAGUUGCUCACCUCCGCUGCUCUCCUAAUUUAUGCUUAUGGUGCUGGUGGCUUUCCUGCUUGGGGCAUUAAUUUGCUGAACUGUUGCUGUUUUGCUGAAUUGUUGCUGUUUAACUAUUUUGUCCUAAUUUCAUGAGCAGUUGCUGUUUAACUACAUUUAAAGAACUAGAAUUGCUGAAUUGUUCUAGUUUUUUAGGCUAUUAUGUUUUCUUUUUUGCUGGGACCUUGGAUGUUUAACUCACUUGAGAGAGUGUGUUCUCAAGAUCUCUUUUUAUUUUAAUAAAUUUUCAUUAAAAAAAUAUGUAUA